UACGUAGGGUGCAAGCGUUGUCCGGAAUUAUUGGGCGUAAAGAGCUCGUAGGCGGUUUGUUGCGUCGGCUGUGAAAUCCCGAGGCUCAACCUCGGGUCUGCAGUCGAUACGAGCAAACUAGAGUGUUGCAGGGGAGACUGGAAUUCCUGGUGUAGCGGUGAAAUGCGUAGAUAUACGGAGGAACACCAGCGGCGAAGGCGGGUAGCUGGGCCAACACUGACGCUGAUGCGCGAAAGCUAGGGUAGCAAACGGG
rnacentral:rRNA from 1 species